ACCAGGAAUCAUGGUGCUCCAUGGAUUAGAACUUGAAAAUGCCAACUGGUGCGACCUGAAUGGAGGAGUUGAGAGAAUUAAGACAGCGAGUGACACUGAUACUGAAACAGUAACAAGCAGCAGGAUUAGUAGUGGAGUGGUGGGGUGGGUCUUCUAUCUUUGGAAUUUAAAGAGAAGGCACAACGACAAAUCCAACAAAAAGAGCUAAAGCAGAGCAGGGCUAAGUAGGGGAAGGGGAGUAGGAAGCUUCCUGUGUUAGCUAGAUCUCCCUUUUUGUUAUUACAAAUUGGCUGCCUUGGCGUUGAC
rnacentral:misc_RNA from 1 species